GAGUUUGAUCCUGGCUCAGGACGAACGCUGGCGGCGCGCCUAACACAUGCAAGUCGAACGAGCGAGAGAGAGCUUGCUUUCUCGAGCGAGUGGCGAACGGGUGAGUAACGCGUGAGGAACCUGCCUCAAAGAGGGGGACAACAGUUGGAAACGACUGCUAAUACCGCAUAAGCCCACAGCUCGGCAUCGAGCAGAGGGAAAAGGAGCAAUCCGCUUUGAGAUGGCCUCGCGUCCGAUUAGCUAGUUGGUGAGGUAACGGCCCACCAAGGCGACGAUCGGUAGCCGGACUGAGAGGUUGAACGGCCACAUUGGGACUGAGACACGGCCCAGACUCCUACGGGAGGCAGCAGUGGGGAGUCUUGCGCAAUGGGGGGAACCCUGACGCAGCGACGCCGCGUGCGGGACGGAGGCCUUCGGGUCGUAAACCGCUUUCAGCAGGGAAGAGUCAAGACUGUACCUGCAGAAGAAGCCCCGGCUAACUACGUGCCAGCCGCCGCGGUAAUUC
rnacentral:rRNA from 1 species